AGAUCAUUAUGAUGGAAGAUUUUCAUGGUGUUAGCAUACAGAAGAAAGAACACUGCCCCUGGAGUCAGAGAACCUGAUUUCAAAUUCUGCCUCUGACAUUUAUUACCUGCAUAAAUUUGACCCUCUCUAAAGCAUCAUUCUUCAUGAAUCUACAAAGAUGGUUCCACAAUCAAACCUGAGAAAAAAGGAUGAGAAUUGAAUAAAACAAAAAGGAAACCUUCUGACUUUAUGAUCAAAAAGAAGGAGGAGCCAGAUGUGACAGAGACCCAGGAACCACAUAGAGUUCACUAUAUUAUCCCAAAUGAUAGCCUUGAUGCAUUCAGUCAUGAGACAUGCUGUGCACUGGAAAAGACCAAGACAAAAAAGACCAGAAUAGGACCAGCUAUAAACUCAUCACAUGCUACUCUGGAAAAGAUUCAGUUCAAAUUAAAAUCUACGGAGAAUAUUCUAGCCAGAGAAAUGGAAAGCAAUGGCUGUCAAGAAUAGGAGAGGAUUCAGCAAGCUAUGGAAAUUUGAGAAUAUCGCUGUAUCAAUUUAAAGAGUUUUCAGCAGUCUUCUUUCCAUUUACCACAGUAAAGACACAGCUUUUGUUUCCAGUGUAUUACAUAUGCAUAUUAUCACUACUUUCAGAUGAAGAUAUCAAUGAGUGGAACUUACUUGGCAAAUAUCACAGAGUGAGAAAGGGGCAGAACUAAUGUUGGAAUCCAAGAUUUCUGAACCUCCAGACAGUGAGCUGGCUCUGGCAAUGCAUAUAUCAGCUUCAUCAUCUAUGUGGACAUCUCUGGAAAGUAUACUGCCAAGGUAAACAAGCUCAUCCACAGCUUUCAACAUUACUCCAUUUGUUGUAUUCUAUGAUUUCAUGUAUGGACAAUAUAGUGCUGGCAGGUGGAGAACCUUAAUCUGUUAAACUAUCAUCUAUCUAAUUCCCCUUUCUCCUCACCUUUCCCCUCUAUUUCUAUACUCAACUGUAUGUGAAACUCAUUUGACCCUUUCGAAUGAAAGUGAGGUUAGUAUCUUAUGUCUCUUCUAACUCUUCCUUCUUGUUUGUAUAGAUGUCUACUUGUGUAACCUGAUUAUGAGAGAGAAUUUUCACUAGUCUUUCUUUCCUUCUGAUAAAUCCAGGAAAGACUAGUAGCCCUGUGUGACAGCUUGCUCAACCUUUCUCAGAGCUGUUUUCCUCCAUCUGCUACCCAGGUCUUACCUGUGGCUCCAAGAAGCUAUAGCAUGAAGUUGUCACUGCCUGGCAAACCAUCUAUAUGCAGAUAAACCAGAUUGAGGGUAACUGACAAGCCUCAAACCCAUCAGUGAUCUGGUUGACGUGUGAAGAUAUAUUAUGGUAGAAAGGACAAAUAAAACAAUUGAGCACUUAGACCUUGGUUAUACA
rnacentral:lncRNA from 1 species